ensembl:lncRNA
GUUAAACUGUGUUCCUAUUGAUUUUGUCUCAGUCAUCAUUUCAAUCAUCAAUCCUUUAUAACUCUGUGCUAGAGACAUUAAAAUGCAUGCUACUUCCCUGGGCUAUACUGGCAAUAAGUUUUAUAGGUCCCAUUUUUAUGCUGUAUUUUAUUUAGUUUGAUAUUCUUCUGCAAAUAUGCACAGAUACAGCAGGCAGUCUUGUAUUAGGCAUUGCAACAUGGGAACAAAUUGGAAGGCUACUAGUGUUGAGUUUAAAAGUAAAGCUGCCAGUGAGACCCCCACCGAUCUCCCCAUACUUAGUGCUUUAUGGUGCACGACUUCACGGAAACCAUGUGACUUUCCCACAUAGCAAAACAGAGGGAGAAGAGGAGGAAAAGGGGGAAGGGGAUCAAUGGAGGUACAAGGACGUCUUUGACAGCAAGGGGUAGAAAACGCAAAGAAAGAUUAAAAUGGUGCGGAGAGGAGAGGGGGACAGGAGAGUCACAGGGCAAGACCUAAUUUAGGAUGAAAGAAAGAAGACAAAGGGACCGUGAGAAAGCUGAGAGACAAUCCUGACCGUAAAUCCUGUCUGCAAAACAAAGGCAGGUUUGGCACUGCCAUCAUCCUUGGAGAUUGACUUCCUGCUCGGAACCAAUAAAGGAGGAAGAAAAAAACAGUAAAGGCUCAGCAAGUGCUGGCAGAUGGCAGGUCUUACUUUGGUAAAGUCACCCCUGUUUGGGAUAUUAAAGGGUUUGACCAGUAAAAUACAGUCAAAAGCAAAGGCAUGGCAAUAUGGUCAAAUUUAUUCUGUUGGAUUAAAAAGUGUAUCAUACAAAAAUAUUUUAUCAGUCAGUACAUUUACAGUCAGUACAGAUGACAGCAUUACUGAUGAACAGCAGGUGUCAAAUAGUAGCAACAGGCUCUUGUGUAUGUUUUACCAGUCUGGGGAAAGGGGUUUUCAUUAUGCAGGUGACGGACUGUGAUGCCUUAGGGUUCUACCGGAAAAACUAGAUCAAGUUAAUGGCUGUAUAGUGACUGAGAAAUGAGACACACUGCGAGUGUGAGAUAAACAGUGAGUGAGCAGAUGUCUCACACACAGAGCACAUAUUACACUUCCUUUACUGGAAUAGCAUGUCAUUGCUUUGUCAUGUGUCUAUGCAGACACAGAGGGUGUGCAUACAGAAGAUUCCUAACAUCACUGUCAUUAAUAUCAAAUUUAAUGCUUAAAAAUAGUAAGCCACAUAGUUUAUACUGUCAUGUUUACAACCAUUUGUCAACAAUGAAAGUCCAUUCUGCAUGCAGCCUGGCAAGGUGCUCUGAUAGCAGUACCUAAUGAUCAUAUUUGCAUUUGAUCAUAGGCAUUACUAGGAGUGUGUGGAUUUAAAACUGGAUGAUUGACACAGAAAGUGGAACGGCACCAUCCUCCAUCUGCAAGUGCUCAUGUGUGAUAUAUACAAUUGUAUGGUCUAUUUUCAGCCCGAGGGUUUAUGGUUAUUGGAAAGGCGUCAUCCCCUCUCUGCUUUCCGAGAAGGAGUCAAUAUUUCUCUGUCUCUUCUUUUCACAGUUAAUCCAAUUUUGUGUCAGAAAAAAACAGCUCAGCUGAGAGAUCCAGCAUAUUUCUGCAGCAUGUACAGAGCAAGCAUGUGGGCAAACACACACACACACACACACACACACACACACACACACACACACACACACACACACACACACACACAAGAAAGUGUGUGACUCUGGGUUUCUUUCCUUACAUACAUAACUGAUUAAAAGGAAACUGUCAUCAUCUUCUACCUCUUCUUCUACUUGAAGCUUCUGCACCCUCUGCUGCUGUGGAUGGUACCACACUGAUACCCUAAAGAUUGCAGUCCUCAAAGAUGAUUAUGUCCAAGACUUACCCUUUCUUUAGUGGAUAAUCCCAUGUGGGUACUGUAGAUUUAUACUCAAGAACUGCUUCUGUAAUUGUAAAGACUAUUCCGUGCUCAUUUCAGGACUCUUAUUUAUAAUAUGCUCAUACUGAACAUCUUUUCAACACACUUAUUACUGUUUGACUUUCCACUUCUACAACUGCAUACGGUAAUGAUUUAUAAUCCCACUUUCAGUUACACCCACAAGAAAGUGGGUUAUCUUUGUAAGAAUGUAAUAAAAGUGCUAUGCAAAUAAACUAAAUUGAAUAAUCAUCAUCCAACCCCACUCAAAAUGAAUUUCCAUUAGAAUAGUAAAAAAAAAAAAGAAAAAAAAGAAAGAUUAUCUGCAGUUACUGCAAAAGUAUAAUUUUUUGAAAGGAUGUGACAUUGCAGAGAAAUACACAAAAUCUGUUCAAAUAUUAAUUACAAGGGGAUGAAAGGAUGAAUAUUGAUUCAUCUUCAGUAAUUGCUUCUCAGAGUCAUGGUGGAUCCAGAGCGUAUCACAGGAACAAUGGGUGUGAGGCAGUAAUUCAUCCUUGAUGUGCCUCCAGCCCAUUGCAGGUCACCGUACACAUACACUUCACACACUGCUUCAUAGCUAGGGGCAAUUAAGAGUCCAGAAUGUUUUUUGUUGGAAGUGAGAAGAACACGGAGAACCUGUAGGAAAUGAAUGUGUACAUAACAAGAACAUGUGAAACUCCACACAUACAGCAACACGAGUUCAGGAUUUAAUUUACUUCAUAAAAUUAAUACUGCAACAAAUGAUAUUACCAAAUCAUGAUAAGAUUACUUAGACAUAUUUACUAAAUUCAAGCUUUCUAUUAGCAGUUAAUUUAGCUCCUUUCAAGAAAUAAACACUAUCUCAAAAUAAGCAAAAUGAUCUGCCAGGGG